AUGGGCGCAGAGGCUCUGCUCCGGCAGCAGGAGCCAUGGUUCGUCUCGCUGGCCAUACUUGGCGCCCUCUACGUCGCGGCCUUCGCGUGUCGCCUCCUACACAUCUCCGGCAUCGCGCUCUGCCUGCGCGGCCCCAAGGACCUUCGCCGCCGCUAUGGGGCGUGGGCCGUCGUCACCGGCCCGACAUCCGGCAUCGGCCGCUCCAUGUCCCUGGAGCUCGCGCGGUGCGGCCUCAACCUCAUCAUCGUCGGCCGCGACCCCGCCAAGCUCCAGAACAUCGCCGGAACCGUCUCCAAAACCCACGGAGUGCUAACCAAGACCGUGCAGUUUGACUUCUCCCUCGUCUCCACUCCUCAAGGGGAAGAGGCGAUGGGGCGGCUCCGGCAGGCGGUGGAUGGGCUGGAGGUGGGAGUGCUGGUGAACAACGCCGGCGUGGCGACGCCGCAUGCAACGUACCUCCACGAGGCCGACGCGGAGGCGUGGGUGAGGAUGAUACGGGUCAACCUGUUGGCCGUGACGGAGGUGACAGCGGCCGUGCUGCCCGGCAUGGUGGAGCGGGGGAGGGGCGCCGUGGUCAACAUCGGCUCCGGCGCCGCAGAGGCGUUGCCCUCCUACCCGCUCUACUCCGUCUACGCCGCCACCAAGCGCUAUGUUGCUCAGUUGUCCAGGAGCCUAUACGUUGAGUAUAGGGUCAAGGGAAUCGAUGUGCAGUGUCAGGCACCGCUGUACGUAGACACGAAGAUGGUGACGAACAUGGUGACGCGGGGAGGGCUCCUGUCCUGGCUGAUCUUUCCGACGUCGGACGCGUACGCUCGUGCUGCGGCGCGCUGGAUCGGGCACCGCCGCCCGGUCUGCAUGCCCAACCUCGGUCACCGGCUGCAGUGGUGCUUCUCCCACUUUGUCCCGGAUCGCGUCCUCGCCGCGCACCGCCUCCACGAGAACCUCCGGCAGCGGGCCGUCUUCCAGCAGCUCAGGUCAUCAUCAGGCCAGAGCACCGUCGGACGUCGUUAG
rnacentral:rRNA from 1 species